CCUACGGGAGGCAGCAGUGAGGAAUAUUGGUCAAUGGGCGCAAGCCUGAACCAGCCAAGUCGCGUGAGGGAUGACGGUCCUAUGGAUUGUAAACCUCUUUUGUCGGGGCGCCAGGCCAGCCACGUGUGGCGGGAAGGCGAGUACCCGAAGAAAAAGCAUCGGCUAACUCCGUACCAGCAGCCGCGGUACUACGGGGGAUGCGAGCGUUAUCCGGAUUUAUUGGGGUUAAAGUGUGCGUAGGCGGAAGGUUAAGUCAGCGGUCAAAUGUCGGUGCUCCACACCGGCCUGCCGUUGAAACUGGUCUUCUUGAGUGAGCGAGAAGUAUGCGGAAUGCGUGGUGGAGCGGUGAAAUGCAUAGAUAUCACGCAGAACUCCGAUUGCGAAGGCAGCAUACCGGCGCUCAACUGACGCGGAGGCACGAAAGCGUGGGGAUCGAACAGGAUUAGAUACCCGAGUAGGC
rnacentral:rRNA from 1 species